UUCUCUGAUGUGACAGAGUACUUCUAGGAAAUCACCAGAGACUGGUUAUUAAAAGAGCAUGGAGGAAAGCUGCUGGAUGUUUGAAACACCUCCAUCAGAUAUGAAGAAGUAAACUGACUUUAAAGCUGGACUUUUGCUGUCCCAGGUUGCUGCCAAAAAUGAGAUGACACAGGCACUGCACUGUCUCCUCCCUACCCAUGUUUUGCAUCAUGAAACACAGAAGCAUUUAAGCUUCAGAAUGGUGCUUGAAGAGCAUACUUCACAGGGCCACAAGCAUAAUUUUCACUGAAUGUGAAUAGUAAUACCCUAGCAAAAAGAGAUUCCUCUGUUAGAAUUGGCUGUACAAAAUUUUCCAUUAUGAAACAGGAUUUGGAGCCACUCUGUCUGCUAUGCUGUCUUUGGUCUUGUCCAAUAAAUGAUGUUUCCAAUAACUCAUUUAAAUUGCUAGCUCUUCUGGGCAAAGCACCAGUCAUUGUGAUCAUCUUUAAGAUUCUGUGGGACCUAUCUGUAGAGAAGGUUCACUGGAUCCCUCCACAACAAAAGAAAGAAUAAGAAAAUCAAUGUGAAUGCUGGAGUUGUCUCUCAAAAGUUGGCAAGAGAGUAUUUUUGGAAACAAGAAUCAUCUGAAGAGGUCUCUUUGCUUGCAGUAACCACUACAUUGUGUUAAUAGCAUAUUAUUAGGUUAUACAAUUUGUGUUUCAGUCAUCUGCAUGGGUUUAGGAUGAUGCCCUUCUGUCCCAGAAUGACAGAAACACAAACUGUACCAAUUGUGCCAGCAAGAAGCUGUCAGUUUUGUGUUUCUAGGAACAUCCUGGACUCAAGCCCUUACAUCUGCUUAUCAUCCUUAUCUCCUACUUCAUUUCAUAAUUUAAUGUCUCCUUACAGAGUGUUUAAUCUAUAUAAAGGCACAGAUUUUAUGCCAGAAUUUGAUGUGCCAGUCUUUUCUGUAUGCCUCUCCUCUUCCUUUGGUUCGAAAUCUACUUGAUUUGACUUUUCUCUACUUAGUGACAAUUUUUUUCUCAAAAACGAAACAAAACAAAACAAAAACAGAAAACAAAAAAUUGACCCACUAAAAAGAAUCUUCUCUGAAUAGAUCCUGCCAGGAGAAGCAAGCUAUGUUAAUUUGAGCGUUACUUGACAGUAGCCCUACAUUUUGGCUACAAUAGCACUCUCUCAGUGUACAAUGCCAGUUCAAGCCUGUUCUUCUUUGAAUAAGCACUGAAGUAGAUCUCUGGGUUCUAUGCAUUGCUUCUACCCUUCAGUUUUGAUUAAAAAUGCAGUAGUAAUUUAGGUUGCUAUGACUGUUUUUCAAGUACACAAAUUAUCUUCACUUCUCUCUAGAUUAAUAUACAUAAUCACUUUUCUUUUUACUGUUCUUCCAGAUUGUACUUCUGUUACUCACCAGUCUUAUUAAACCAGUAAACCCACAACAAGGUGUGAUGUCUGUCAUUCCUUUUCAUCUAGGCAAAGGAAGCUACUAGAGCAAGCCCGAUUCCUUAGAAUUAGCUUGUUAUUCCCUCUCACCAAAAUACAUGGAAUUCCGGGAAUAAAAUAUAUAUAGAAAAAACACUUGUGAACAUAUCACUUUAGAAUACU